CCUACGGGAGGCAGCAGUAAGGAAUAUUGGACAAUGGACGGAAGUCUGAUCCAGCCAUGCCGCGUGAAGGAUGAAGGCGCUCAGCGUUGUAAACUUCUUUUGGAUGGGGACAAACCACUCGACGUGUCGGGUGCUGAGGGUACCAUCAGAAUAAGCACCGGCUAACUCCGUGCCAGCAGCCGCGGUAAUACGGAGGGUGCGAGCGUUAUCCGGAAUCACUGGGUUUAAAGGGUGCGUAGGCGGUCUGAUAAGUCAGUUGUGAAAUUCCUCGGCUUAACCGAGUGGACUGCGAUUGAUACUGUGAGACUUGAAUCAGGUUGAGGUAGGCGGAAUGUGACAUGUAGCGGUGAAAUGCUUAGAUAUGUCAUAGAACACCGAUUGCGAAGGCAGCUUGCUGGGCUUCGAUUGACGCUGAGGUACGAAAGCGUGGGGAGCAAACAGGAUUAGAUACCCUGGUAGUCCACGCCGUAAACGAUGAUAACUAGCUGCCAGGGUUCUUAGAACUUUGGUGGCGCAGCUAACGCAUUAAGUUAUCCGCCUGGGGAGUACGGUCGCAAGAUUAAAACUCAAAGGAAUUGACGG
rnacentral:rRNA from 1 species